rnacentral:rRNA from 1 species
GACGUAGGGCGCGAGCGUUGUCCGGAUUUAUUGGGCGUAAAGAGCUCGUAGGCGGUUUGUCGCGUCUGCCGUGAAAGUCCGGGGCUCAACUCCGGAUCUGCGGUGGGUACGGGCAGACUAGAGUGAUGUAGGGGAGACUGGAAUUCCUGGUGUAGCGGUGAAAUGCGCAGAUAUCAGGAGGAACACCGAUGGCGAAGGCGGCACUCUGGGCCGAUACUGACGCUGAGGAGCGAAAGCGUGGGGAGCAAACAGG